UGGAGCGGUUUGGUUUUUUGUUUUUACAUUGUUUUUAUUAAGAUUUGCUUCUCUGGUUGAUAGCUUUUAGGGGUGCCCUCCUCUCCAACACUAGGACCUCUGGGAUUUUGAAGAUCACAGUCUUCCUUAUGUCGUCCCUCCCCACCCCCACCCCCUCCGCCCGCGGCUAGCAGAUUUUUCCAGAUCCUUCUCCAUCCUCAGGACUCCCAAGUCUGGGCCUGUCUGGUGGCCCGCCCUGUUCACCCAGGCCCACAGUGUAAUAGCUGGAGACAGGCAGCCAGAUGUGAAGUGGCAAAGGUCGGCCUCCCCUGACUGUGCGGCCGAUGCCUAUGGUCCCAGGCGUGGGCACUUGAGUAGUGUGGGAAGAGAGGUCCAGGGAGUGAAAGUGUGGGCCCAGGAGGGAACAGUUUAGCCCAGGUGCACAAAUUGGACACAACUUUGCCCUCUCUGCAGCCUGGCAGGCCCACCGCAUGAGUUGCUUUCUAAAAUACCAUGAGCAGAUAUGUAAGAGACAAAGACUUGUAAGUGGGGUGAAGGAACCUUUUCUUCUCAACCUGAUGCUCCUAAGAGAUGCUUGUGGAGUUCCGAGUCCGUGUGGCUAAAACCAUGAAGUUCUGAUUACUGAAACAGUGAUGGCUUGGUCUGCUGACUUGAUGGAAGAUCUGUCUGGAGAGGUCCUGACUGCCCAGCCGGAUAGUACCACAGUUAUACAUAGAGCCUGGGUCUCUCCACAGACCUGAGUGGAGGAGAACCCCCCAUGGGAGUUUUGUUGUUUGAUGAUCCACUUCACAAUCUUGGAUGCUGUAGUCAGGUCCGAUGAAGAAAGGUCUCGCGUAGGCCGGGAAGAUGCA